rnacentral:misc_RNA from 1 species
CGGGAUUAUUACUCGAUUAUUCAAGUAGCCACAGCAAUGGAGAAUGGUUAUUUUGGGUCGAGAGAUAAUAUGUGCCAUAAUCUUAACGUAGUAUCGGCAAUAAUAACAGUUUUAUUAACACUUACAGAAUGUUCUGGACAAGUUACAGAAACUGUGGAUGUACAGUGGACAACAUCAAUCCGACUCAACGAGUUCCGUGGCUACCAAACAGUCAGUCUAACAUCCUUCCAGGUGCCGCCGGCCACCAUUGAGACCAUCUGGGACAUCCAGUGCUCCUCCAUGCCGGGGCCCUGUCCAGUUCACACAGCACAAGUAUACUUCCAGCAUGGUAGCUAUCCACUUGUAAGUCCAUACAAUGCUUCUUACCCAGCCGACUUCUAUUUGCAUCGGUCUGACCUUCAUUUUGUUGAGGUCAGAACCAACAAUCUCUCUCACCCACAUCAUGUGAUCAGUCCCAAACCGGGGAGGUGGUUUGUCACAGCCUUCCUACCAAAGACAGAGGAAAAAAUCACACAAAAGGGAUUAAACGGAAAAACGUGUGGAUAUGGUAUGGGCAUUCGUUUUAUUAACCGUGUUCUGGGCAACAUUGAGGACGUGUCAAUGACUAAACACUCCAAAAUAUCUUUACGGGCACCGAGCUUGAUGACCAUAGUAAGGUUCCUUCCACCAGAGACAACAACAGGUUACACUCUCUACAUUAGUCAUUGUGUGGUAGACAAUGUUAGCGUCACUGUGUGUCCUCUCAAGGUCACCGUGUCCUCAGAACACAUCCCAAAUUCAGCCUCUGACCCCUCGGAGGACUGUCGGGACCAGAGCUCGGAUUGCCACAUUACUGUUGAGCGACUGGUGACCACCCAGUACAACUAUGUGCAGGUGGAGGUGCCAGAAAACGUCACGGCUUCACUGGUGGAGUUCUACGUCAAUUUUUCACUACUUCGGUGUCAGUUGAGAUACAGACUGGAGGACACAAUGAAACAACGAAGGGGAGUUCUUCACACCCCCGAUUCCAUCAAACAUUUGACCAGCGCAAAAAACAAUAACAUCACCGAUGAUAUGGACGGUGUGCUUCGGUUUAUAUCUGUGAAAUCGAAUGAAUCGGAGAGUCUCCUGAACUACUCCAUAGCCGCUGACAACAACCUAACCCGGUCUUUACGCGCCCACGAGGCUUGUCUAUUCCUGCCAUCACUUGGCACCCUUCGCUUGGCCUCCGAGGACUUUGCCACGCUAUUUGUGUUUCCUGAUGCCCUGCUGUACCCGCAGCCCAACAAUAGGUUAUUUAUCCCGGACAACAUUGUCUUGCUGACUCACUAUAACAUCUUCUCCACGAAGGACUCUGGGGCCACCCUCAAGGUCGAGCUACAGAUGGUGAAAGGUCAGACAGACCCCAGUCAGGAUGCUGUAGUGUGGGUGUGCAUGAUGAAGAACGUGAUUCCGGGGAAACACCUGAUUGAUGAGUGUGAUGGCGGGAUCAAGCUGACUGUCAACUCGUCCGUGCUCGGUCCAACAAUGACAGACAAACUGUAUGUGCCCUACCCUGAGGAGGGUCGCUGGUACUUCGGUCUUCACAGCAUAUGUUUUAACAAGAACAGAACGAUGACCCCAGAGGCUUGCAGACAGCUGCCGAUGGUUUCACUACUGGUGUUUACGUCCCGUUGUGUGGACGAGGAGUGUGGGACAUAUGGCCUAUGUCAGGAGUAUAUCAGUGACCUCCAUGUUUUCAGUGCCUGCUCAUGCUAUGCUGGUUACCGUGGCUAUGGCUGUACCGAUGGUACUGAGGCAGAGACAGACACGAUGCUGCUGGUGACAGCCCUCCUGCUAACCCUCAGUAAUCUCUUCUUCAUCCCCAGUAUCUUUGUAGCCAUCCAUCGACGCCUGUUUGUUGAAGCCCUCGUCUAUUUUUUCACCAUGUUCUUUUCUACUUUUUACCAUGCCUGCGAUACAAAAGACGUGACCCACUACUACUGUAUGAUGAAGUAUGAUGUUCUGAGUUACUGCGACUUCCUCGGCUCCAUCAUGUCCUUCUGGGUGACGAUCCUGGCCAUGGCCCGCCUUUCCUCACCGGUCCGCUCGUUUUUCCACAUGCUGGGUGCCUUGUGCCUUGCCUUAGGCGUGGAGUAUGACCGACACGGCCUCUGGGUGUUUGUUGUACCAGCAGCCUUCGGCAUUAUCAUUAUGUCUAUAUCAUGGGUGCGACAGUGCUGUAUACGGAAAAACUGCUAUCCAUCCAAGUGGCGCUAUGUGAAAUUCCUGUUGCCAGGAGUUCUGUUUGCUGGAACAGGGCUCGUAAUUUUCGCCUUUUUAGAAACAGAGGAGAAUUACAAAUAUACCCAUAGUGCCUGGCAUGUCGUCAUGGCGCUGUGUAUUGUGUUCCUGUUGCCAAGUCGACAAAAGUCUAAAGAUGAUAGUUUGGAGCUUAUAGAUACUGACUUGAAUGGAUCACCUUCAGUCCAGGAAUCUUUGUGUCCGGAGUAAUGAUGAGAAAGGUUAGCUGCUACCAUCAGUGCCCAUCAAUAAAAAGUGAAAAUAAUGGGCCAAACCUUACAUGCAACUGCAGACCCGGGGGGAGGACACCGUCCCACUGAUGGACGAUUAUGACGAUGAAAAUGAUGAUGACGA